rnacentral:rRNA from 1 species
GAUGAACGCUGGCGGCGUGCCUAAUACAUGCAAGUCGAGCGAACAGACGAGGAGCUUGCUCCUCUGACGUUAGCGGCGGACGGGUGAGUAACACGUGGAUAACCUACCUAUAAGACUGGGAUAACUUCGGGAAACCGGAGCUAAUACCGGAUAACAUGUUGAACCGCAUGGUUCAACAGUGAAAGACGGUUUUGCUGUCACUUAUAGAUGGAUCCGCGCCGCAUUAGCUAGUUGGUAAGGUAACGGCUUACCAAGGCAACGAUGCGUAGCCGACCUGAGAGGGUGAUCGGCCACACUGGAACUGAGACACGGUCCAGACUCCUACGGGAGGCAGCAGUAGGGAAUCUUCCGCAAUGGGCGAAAGCCUGACGGAGCAACGCCGCGUGAGUGAAGAAGGUCUUCGGAUCGUAAAACUCUGUUAUUAGGGAAGAACAAAUGUGUAAGUAACUAUGCACGUCUUGACGGUAACUAAUCAGAAAGCCACGGCUAACUACGUG